CACGUAGGGUGCGAGCGUUGUCCGGAAUUAUUGGGCGUAAAGAGCUCGUAGGCGGUGUGUCGCGUCGGCCGUGAAAACCUGCAGCUUAACUGUGGGCUUGCGGUCGAUACGGGGCAUCACUGGAGUUCGGGCAGGGGAGACUGGAAUUCCUGGUGUAGCGGUGAAAUGCGCAGAUAUCAGGAGGAACACCGGUGGGCGAAGGCGGGUCUCUGGGCCGGAUACUGACGCU
rnacentral:rRNA from 1 species